AGUGAACGCUGGCGGUAGGCCUAACACAUGCAAGUCGAACGGCAGCACAGUAAGAGCUUGCUCUUACGGGUGGCGAGUGGCGGACGGGUGAGGAAUACAUCGGAAUCUACUUUUUCGUGGGGGAUAACGUAGGGAAACUUACGCUAAUACCGCAUAAGACCUACGGGUGAAAGCAGGGGAUCUUCGGACCUUGCGCGAUUGAUUGAGCCGAUGUCGGAUUAGCUAGUUGGCGGGGUAAAGGCCCACCAAGGCGACGAUCCGUAGCUGGUCUGAGAGGAUGAUCAGCCACACUGGAACUGAGACACGGUCCAGACUCCUACGGGAGGCAGCAGUGGGGAAUAUUGGACAAUGGGCGAAAGCCUGAUCCAGCCAUACCGCGUGGGUGAAGAAGGCCUUCGGGUUGUAAAGCCCUUUUGUUGGGAAAGAAAAGCAGCAGGUUAAUACCCCGCUGUUCUGACGGUACCCAAAGAAUAAGCACCGGCUAACUUCGUG
rnacentral:rRNA from 1 species